rnacentral:lncRNA from 1 species
GGCGGCAGCGGCGGCGGCGCGCGCUAAGCCGCGGGCGCCCGGCGGGUACCGGGAGCGCCUCCCCGGGCGGGCGGCGACCCCUGGCCAGCGACACCCGGUCAUCAUCCGCCUGCCGCCCCUCGCCCACCACCGACCGACCACCGACCCCCAGCGCCGUGCAGGGUGAAGCUGUGAGUUCCUGGGAAUGGCCCCUUGGAAGCCAAAGCAGGAAUUGGCCUUGGAAGGGAGGAGAAACUCCUGAGAGAGCUUCAGUGGGGCUGCCUGUGACCUCUCUCUGCUUCCCCUGGCCUGUUUUCCAAGAAAAUGGAAAUGUUUCCAAACAUCCUCGAGUGGCAGGGUGGUUUUAUUCCUUUUAAAUGACUUUUUAGAGCUUCAGACCCGAGCUGCUGUGGGUUUGGGCUCAGUUUGCUGACAAAGGCAGGGACAGCAGUCCAGGGGCACGUGGAGUUGGGGAUUGAUUGCUGAUUUUGGUUUCUUUGGCCAUCUUUCUUUGUCACACGUCACCUCUGCAGCCACCAGCAUCCUUGGGAGGGUGCACAGCAGCUCCAUGAGCUUUUCCCCCCAGAUUUGCACCAAAACCAGGAGAAGCAUCUGGGUAUCACCCCUUUGCAGCCUGAGCUGAUUUGUGCCCUGGCAAAGCCACAAAGAGAUAAAGCAGUGGAGAGCUGAGAGCUAAAUCUGUGCUCUACAAAUGCUGGGAGCACUGUAAUAGGAUUGCUGAGCUGGAGUUACAUGUUUUGCAGGGUGAUACAGGCUCUGGGGCCAUGCUGAAAUCAGGGACAGAACUGGGGAUUUGCAGCACUUGCUGGGAUGCUGCGUUUCCCUGUGAGCAGAAAAAGGGAAGAACAGAAAAAGGGAAGAAAAAGCUUUUGUAGAUAACACAGAACAGAUCCCUGGAAAGACUGGAGCUCCUGGGGCAGAAAACAUCACUGCUCUGACCUGAGGGGUGUUGGGUAUCACAGGUUUUCCUUACACUAAAUAAAAACACUUUGUAGAUCUUGUAGCUGAACUUC